rnacentral:rRNA from 1 species
CCGGCAACCGGCGCACGGGUGAGUAACACGUAUGCAACCUGCCCGUCUCAGGGGGAUAAUCGUCGGAAACGGCGUCUAAUACCCCGUAUGAAGCUGGACGGCAUCGUCUGGUUUUGAAAGAAUAUCGGAGACGGAUGGGCAUGCGGCGCAUUAGCUAGUUGGCGGGGUAACGGCCCACCAAGGCGACGAUGCGUAGGGGUUCUGAGAGGGAGGUCCCCCACACUGGUACUGAGACACGGACCAGACUCCUACGGAAGGCAGCAG